rnacentral:misc_RNA from 1 species
UCGUGGGGGCUUUCUAAGGGAAACUGGCAUGUAUUCACGUUCAAAAACUCGAAAAUAAAACACCAGCCCACCCGCUUGCAGUUAUCCGAGCAGAUUCUUGAAGAAAUAUGAUGAUGAAUGUACAAUUUAAUAAGAUGUAAUAUAAGAUGACCAAUGUAUGAUUUUAAUGUACAAUUUUCCUUCAAGUAAUUUUAUUUGAUUGAGAUUUUAAAGCUUGCACUUUUUCAUAUAUUUUGUGUUUCAUUUCUUUUCACUGUGGGUCGGGAAAGUACCUUAAACCACCAUUUAAACGAUUCCUUUUCGUCGUUCGAAAGUCGACUGCUAAAUCUGAAGAUGAACUGAAACGAAUGAGGCAACGAUGCGAACUUUCCUUAGCUGGUUCCCUCCAUUGUAUGCGAGAUAUGUAGAAUGUUUUCCAAGCCAUCUUUCAACAGCUGAUAUAUUUUUUAACUGUAACGGAGAUCAAAGUUUAUAUGACCAUGGCCGCCUAUAGAGUUGUGCGAUGUUUAUCAAUUAACUUUUCAAGAACUUUGCAUAAACUUCCGUCACAUCAUGUUUCAAGACCCAAACAGGCAGCAUCUUUAAGAAUAUGCAAUCUAAGUGCAAGGAAACAUCGUUGUCUUUUUACAUCUUCAGCACAUUAUGGUCAAAUAGUUUCUUUCAAUUUAUCAGAUAUUGGAGAAGGAAUAUCAGAAGUUACUCUAAAAGAAUGGUAUAUAAAGGAAGGUGACAAAGUCAAUCAAUUUGAUAGCAUAUGUGAAGUUCAAAGUGACAAAGCAUCUGUAACAAUAACUAGUCGUUAUGAUGGUUACAUAAGAAAAAUUUAUUAUGAAGUGGAUGAUAUUGCCAAAGUUGGUUUCCCUCUUGUUGAUAUAGAGCUUCUUGAAGAAGACAGCUCCAGUUCUGAAGAGCAAGUCGAUCAAGUUCAAGAUCAACUAGCUGCUCCAGCUGGUUCCGAAGCUGACUUUUCAAUUAUUUCAAAUAAAGUUCUCACUACACCGGCAGUUAGGCGAAUUGCUAGUGAGCACAAUGUAAAACUGAGUGAAGUGAAAGGAAGUGGAAAAGAUGGUCGUAUUCUGAAGGAAGAUAUAUAUGCAUACUUAGAACAACUUAAAUUAAAGCAGGCAAAUGCUCCUUUUAAAGAACCACACCAGGUUGCUCCUCCCAAACCAGUUCCCAAAGAAUCCGCAAAGAAAAUUGUAGAAACUCAAGUGCCAAUUCUUAAAGAUAAAACUGAACUCAUUAAAGGAUAUAAAAAGACCAUGGUUAAAACUAUGACCAGAUCUCUUUCUGUACCAAGUUUUUGUUACUGUGAUGAAAUAGAUGUCACAGAUUUAGUGCUCAUGAGAGAAUCUCUAAAAACUAUAGCAGAAGAAAGAAAUAUAAAAUUUUCAUAUAUGCCAUUUUUUAUCAAAGCCCUAUCUUUAUCAUUAUCAGAAUAUCCUGUCUUGAAUUCUUCGGUAGAUGAGAAAUGCGAGAACAUUAUCUACAAAGCUUCACAUAAUAUAGGUAUAGCAAUGGAUACAAGUGCAGGUCUUAUAGUACCAAACAUAAAAAAUGUACAGAACCUCACUAUUUUACAAAUUGCAUCAGAAUUAAACAGGCUUCAAGAUUUGGGACGCAGAGAAGCUUUAGGACAGAGUGAUGUGACUGGAGGCACAUUUUCUCUCUCUAAUAUUGGUGCUAUUGGUGGAACAUAUGCAAAACCAGUUAUUCUUCUUCCUGAAGUUGCUAUUGGUGCUAUUGGUAAAAUUCAGGCUCUUCCUAGGUUUGAUAAAGAAGACAGACUAGUUAAGAAGCAUAUCAUGCAAAUCAGUUGGACAGCUGAUCACAGAGUGAUAGAUGGAGCCACAAUGUGUCGUUUUUCAAAUUUGUGGAAGUCAUAUCUGGAAAAUCCAAUGACUAUGCUUAUGCAUAUGAGAUGAAUUAUAACAUCACAUUUACAGUUAUCUCUUAUUGAACUGGAAAAGAACUUUGAUAUGUUUUAUUAAAAGGGAAACGAGCAUAAGCAAGUUUGGUUAUUCAAUUACGGAAAAUCCUCAAGGACUAUCUGCCUAAGAGAAGGGAUGCCUUCAUGGAGGACUUUCUAAGGGAAACUGGCUCGUAUACACGUUAUACAUGGGGAAAACCACGAAAACACCCAUGCAGCCAGCCCGU